GACGAACGCUGGCGGCGUGCUUAACACAUGCAAGUCGAACGGAAAGGCCCUGCUUUUGUGGGGUGCUCGAGUGGCGAACGGGUGAGUAACACGUGAGUAACCUGCCCUUGACUUUGGGAUAACUUCAGGAAACUGGGGCUAAUACCGGAUAGGAGCUCCUGCUGCAUGGUGGGGGUUGGAAAGUUUCGGCGGUUGGGGAUGGACUCGCGGCUUAUCAGCUUGUUGGUGGGGUAGUGGCUUACCAAGGCUUUGACGGGUAGCCGGCCUGAGAGGGUGACCGGCCACAUUGGGACUGAGAUACGGACCAGACGCCUACGGGAGGCAGCAGUGGGGAAUAUUGCACAAUGGGCGGAAGCCUGAUGCAGCAACGCCGCGUGCGGGAUGACGGCCUUCGGGUUGUAAACCGCUGUCGCCUGUGACGAAGCGUGAGUGACGGUAAUGGGUAAAGAAGCACCGGCUAACUACGUG
rnacentral:rRNA from 1 species